AUACGGAGGGUGCGAGCGUUAUUCGGAAUUAUUGGGCGUAAAGCGCGUGCAGGCGGCCGAGCAAGUCUGAUGUGAAAGCCCCGGGCUUAACCUGGGAAGUGCAUUGGAAACUGUUCGGCUUGAGUACUGGAGAGGAAGGGGGAAUUCCCGGUGUAGAGGUGAAAUUCGUAGAGAUCGGGAGGAAUACCAGUGGCGAAGGCGCCCUUCUGGACGGUUACUGACGCUGAGACGCGAAAGCGUGGGGAGCAAACAGGAUUAGAUACCCUGGUAGUCCACGCUGUAAACGAUGAGCACUAGGUGUAGCGGGUACUCAUUCCUGCUGUGCCGCAGCUAACGCGUUAAGUGCUCCGCCUGGGGAUUACGGUCGCAAGACUAAA
rnacentral:rRNA from 1 species